AUCUCCGGUAAUUUUUCUUGAUUUAACAUUAAGUAAAUAAUUAAUUGAUUAAUUAAUUAAUUAAUUAAAUGAGCUAAUUGAUUAAUAUGUUGACAGUGAUUUUAAAAUAAAGACAGAUAUAAUUUAUUAUUUAAUUAUAGUAAAGUUAUAGUGUUCGAAUAAAAGUGCGGGGCAACGACAAUGGAUCGAUAAUUGAAAAAAAUAAAAUAAAAUAAAUAAUAAAAAUAAAAAUACCGGAAUAAAAAGAAGUAGAAGUGACCUCAAUAAAUGUUCAGUGUAGCAGUAGUUGAUCGGGAAGUGAUUAAUGAAGUGCAGUUUUAUUUUAAAAUGAGUUUCAUUUAAAUAAUGACAAUUAAAAUGUACAGUUAAUGAAAAAGUGUUUAGUGUCCUUAUGUCUUCGAUUCUUUGAUGCAAUUAAUGAUUUCCUGCCAUCAUCGACAACACCGUGACAAAGAUAUCAGCGAACGUACCAGUGCCAAAGUCCAUGAAUCAGAGCUGAAUUUAUUCGGUGGAUGCCCAAGGGAUUUUCUGUACAUAUAUAUAUGGUUAAAAGGUAAUUUACAUACGGAAGAACAUUAGUUAAUUAGUAUGGACAUAACCAAUGAUUGGUGAUUGGAGCAAUGGCCGCAAACUCACACUACAGUUAAGCCGGGAAUUAUUAGCAGGAUCAUCGUUAAAACUCCAGGUAUGGAUCAGUCAGCUAUUUUCUCUACCCAAGCUCUUUCGUUUAACGGUUUUUCUAUUUUUCGAGUUAGCAAAAUAAAUAAAGUAAAAAGCCGUUGACCUCAACGGUAGUAAGGGGUGAAGGGUCAGAAGCUGGAUAAGAGCCGAGCAAGAGCAAGAGUGCGUUAACAGUCGAUACGUUGCAAUGUGCAAUGGCAAAUAUAUAUUUAAUCCGCAACGCUCCGGGCAAAUCGACAUUUUUAGGAUGAACCAUUUUGCCCACCCCAACCCCAAUGCCAAAUCCCUCUACCCCAUUUCGCAAUUCCCAAUCCCCCAAAAUUCAGUACCAACGACCAUAAUCCAUCGCCCGGCGUGAUAAAGCCCUCCGGCAUUCGUCAUCAUAUCACGUCCAGCGAUAUCGCGAGCGCUAUUUUUUUGGCUUAACUUUCACAUUGUUUUUUAUUCAUUCAUCAUUGCAAUAUUGUUUUUAUUGA